GACGAACGCUGGAGGCGUGCCUAAUACAUGCAAGUCGAACGCAGUGGGGACGGGUGAGUAACACGUGGGUAACCUCCCAUCAGAGGGGAUAACCCUUGGAAACAGGUGCUAAAACCGAUAAUGAUGGAUGGACACGCGGUGCAUUAGCUAGUUGGUGAGGUAACGGCUCACCAAGGCCACGAGGCAUAGCCGACCUGGGAGUGAGAUCGUCCACACUGUGACUUAGCCACGGCCCAGACUCCUACGUGAGGCAGCAGUGGGGAAUAUUUGACAAUGGGCGAAAGCCUGAUCCUGCCAUCCCGCGUGUGUGAAGAAGGUCUUCGGAUUGUAAAGCACUUUCAGUUGGGAGGCGUUACCAACAGAAUAAGCACCGGCUAACUUCGUGCCAGCAGCCGCGGUAAUUC
rnacentral:rRNA from 1 species